rnacentral:rRNA from 1 species
GAUGAACGCUGGCGGCGUGCCUAAUACAUGCAAGUCGAGCGAACGGACGAGAAGCUUGCUUCUCUGAUGUUAGCGGCGGACGGGUGAGUAACACGUGGAUAACCUACCUAUAAGACUGGGAUAACUUCGGGAAACCGGAGCUAAUACCGGAUAAUAUUUUGAACCGCAUGGUUCAAAAGUGAAAGACGGUCUUGCUGUCACUUAUAGAUGGAUCCGCGCUGCAUUAGCUAGUUGGUAAGGUAACGGCUUACCAAGGCAACGAUGCAUAGCCGACCUGAGAGGGUGAUAGGCGACACUGGAGCUGAGACGCGGUCCAGACGCCUAAGGGACGCAGCAGUAGGGAAUCGUCCGCAAUGGGCGAAAGCCUGACGGAGCAACGCCGCGUGAGUGAUGAAGGUCUUCGGAUCGUAAAACUCUGUUAUUAGGGAAGAACAUAUGUGUAAGUAACUGUGCACAGCGUGACGGUACCUAAUCAGAAAGCCACGGCUAACUACGUG